rnacentral:sRNA from 1 species
ACAGAACAAACUGGAGUUAAGAAAUGUCGUUCUUCAGAUUUAAAAAGAAAACCUUUACUGAAUCAGCUGAGUGUUAAUAAUACGAAUUUCCUUUUCUUGCCAAUUCUGAUCUGAACAGAAAAACCAAGAACAGGGAUAUGUGUGGAUUACAGUUUUCUCUGCCUUGCCUACGACUGUUUCUGACUUGCAUCCAAGGGUCCUUAAGCCGUUGUCUUCAUUGAUUCAUCUUCAGGCAAAUUCUAAUCCUUGGGAAUGUAACUGCAAACUUUUGGGCCUUCGAGACUGGCUAGCAUCUUCAGCCAUUACUCUAAACAUCUAUUGUCAGAAUCCCCCAUCCAUGCGUGGCAGAGCAUUACGUUAUAUUAACAUUACAAAUUGUGUUACAUCUUCAAUAAAUGUAUCCAGAGCUUGGGCUGUUGUAAAAUCUCCUCAUAUUCAUCACAAGACUACUGCGCUAAUGAUGGCCUGGCAUAAAGUAACCACAAAUGGCAGUCCUCUGGAAAAUACUGAGACUGAGAACAUUACUUUCUGGGAACGAAUUCCUACUUCACCUGCUGGUAGAUUUUUUCAAGAGAAUGCCUUUGGUAAUCCAUUAGAGACUACAGCAGUGUUACCUGUGCAAAUACAACUUACUACUUCUGUUACCUUGAACUUGGAAAAAAACAGUGCUCUACCGAAUGAUGCUGCUUCAAUGUCAGGGAAAACAUCUCUAAUUUGUACACAAGAAGUUGAGAAGUUGAAUGAGGCUUUUGACAUUUUGCUAGCUUUUUUCAUCUUAGCUUGUGUUUUAAUCAUUUUUUUGAUCUACAAAGUUGUUCAGUUUAAACAAAAACUAAAGGCAUCAGAAAACUCAAGGGAAAAUAGACUUGAAUACUACAGCUUUUAUCAGUCAGCAAGGUAUAAUGUAACUGCCUCAAUUUGUAACACUUCCCCAAAUUCUCUAGAAAGUCCUGGCUUGGAGCAGAUUCGACUUCAUAAACAAAUUGUUCCUGAAAAUGAGGCACAGGUCAUUCUUUUUGAACAUUCUGCUUUAUAACUCAACUAAAUAUUGUCUAUAAGAAACUUCAGUGCCAUGGACAUGAUUUAAACUGAAACCUCCUUAUAUAAUUAUAUACUUUAGUUGGAAAUAUAAUGAAUUAUAUGAGGUUAGCAUUAUUAAAAUAUGUUUUUA